rnacentral:rRNA from 1 species
AAUAGAUACCCCCGGUAGUCCACGCCGUAAACGAUGGAUGCUAGCUGUUAUGCGUAUCGACCCGUGUAGUAGCGAAGCUAACGCGUUAAGCAUCCCGGCCUGGGGAGUACGAACGCAAGUUUAAAACUCAAAGGAAUUGACGGGGACCCGCACAAGCGGUGGAGCGUGUUCUUUAAUUCGAGGCUAAGCGAAGAACCUUACCAGGGCUUGACAUCCUUGGAAUUUCUCCGAAAGGAGAGAGUACUUUAUUGGACCAAGUGACAGGUGCUGCAUGGCCGUCGUCAGCUCGUGUCGUGAGAUGUUGGUUAAGUCCAUUAACGAGCGCAACCCUUAUGAAUAGUUGUAUUUUUCUAUUCAGACUGCCCCGGUAACGGGGAGAAGGGGGGGAUGAUGUCAGGUCAGGUAUUGCCCGUUAGCCCUGGGCUAGAAACGCGCUACAAUGGCCGGUACAAUGCGCUGCCAACCCGCGAGGGGGAGCGAAAAUCGCGAUCAAAAGCCGGUCCCAGUUCGGAUAAGAGGCUGAAACUCGCCUCUUUGAAGCCGGAAUCGCUAGUAAUCGUA